rnacentral:telomerase_RNA from 2 species
GUGCGGACGGGCUGCGUGGGCGGGUCGGUCCGUCCUGGCACAUCUAACCCUAAAUGCGCGCUGGUUGAAGUGGCUUCUCCUGGGCGAUCGCUCGCUGUUUUUGUGGCUGGCUUUCAGCGGGCUGGAGGAGCCGGGAGCGGAGGCGGAGGACCGAGCCAAAAACGUCAGCCGAGGCCGGGCGGCCCCGCUCGUGGCCCGUCCGCACUGUCCGGGCCAGGCCCCGGCCCGAACCCCCUGGAGACAACUCCCGCAGGGUCUGCGCUGCGCCGCGGAGCCCCGGCUGCCCACGUAGAGGCGGCGGCCGUCUCGGGGCCCCUGCGUGCGGGGCGCCCACUGCGGCCGCCAAGAGCUCGUCUCUGUCAGCCUCGGGUGCACGUGGGCCCGCGGUCGAGCCCUAAGGCCGGGCGUGGGGCUGGGGUCGCAGGGAGAGUAACCGUGAGCCGGCGCCCAGCCUUCAGGGCGCUCCCUCGAGCUAUGGGAGCUGCCCCCGGGCACGGCUCGGACACCC